CAAUAGCGUAUAUUAAAGUUGUUGCAGUUAAAAGCUCGUAGUUGGACUUCUGGGCCGUUUUGUUGGUCUGCCGCAAGGCUGCACUAGCGGGAUGGCCCAUCCUCUCGAAGGCUGGGGGUGGCUCUUAACUUGGGAUGGCUUUCAGAAUCUCGGGAUCGUUUACUUUGAAAAAUUGAAUGAGUGUUCAAAGCAGGCUUACGCUUGAAUACAUUAGCAUGGAAUAAUGGAAUAGGACUUUGGUUCUAUUUUGUUGGUUUCUAGAACUGAAGUAAUGAUUAAUAGGGAUAGUUGGGGGCAGUUAGUAUUUAAUUGUCAGAGGUGAAAUUCUUGGAUUUAUGAAAGACUAACUUCUGCGAAAGCAUUUGCCAAGGAUGUUUUCAUUAAUCAAGAACGAAAGUUAGGGGAUCGAAGACGAUUAGAUACCA
rnacentral:rRNA from 1 species